CAGAAUGGCCUGGAGGUGGCACUUAAGAGUCUUAACGUGGCUGUUCCUCCACCCAAAUUUCAUGAUGCAAGUAGCCCACUGUUAGCAGGAGGAGUGACCUCUGACCUUCCCUGGGUUGUCAAGCCCGAGGAGAAACUGAAGUUCGACUCCAUCUUUGAGAGUUUGGGUCCUGUAGGAGGGAUGCUGUC